ACAAGCGGUGGAGGAUGUGGUUUAAUUCGACGCAACGCGAAGAACCUUACCUAGGCUUGACAUGCUGGCGAAACCGUGGAACACGGUCCUCCGCAAGGGACGCUAGUACAGGUGGUGCAUGGCUGUCGUCAGCUCGUGUCGUGAGAUGUUGGGUUAAGUCCCGCAACGAGCGCAACCCUUGUCAUUAGUUGCUACAUUCAGUUGGGCACUCUAAUGAGACUGCCGGUGGACAAACCGGAGGAAGGUGGGGAUGACGUCAAGUCCUCAUGGCCCUUAUGGGUAGGGCUUCACACGUCAUACAAUGGUCGGUACAGAGGGUUGCCAAGCCGCGAGGUGGAGCCAAUCCCUUAAAGCCGAUCGUAGUCCGGAUCGCAGUCUGCAACUCGACUGCGUGAAGUCGGAAUCGCUAGUAAUCGUGAAUCAGAAUGUCACGGUGAAUACGUUCCCGGGCCUU
rnacentral:rRNA from 1 species